rnacentral:lncRNA from 1 species
AUGGAGAGAGACAAGACAGACUCACACAAAACUUAUGUGGCCAGGAUCUCUGAACUCCAAAUGUUGCUGAUUCACAGUGUCUCCUCUGACUAUGACCCUGACUUAUCUUUGAGAAAUUUGAAAUUCAUUUUCUCUAGAAUGAACAUCCUUGGAUCUAAAGGCCUUCAUGCCAGACAUGAAGAAGGAAGCUGCAUGUUCAGAACAAGACAGACGUGCUGUCCCUUACCCACCUCCGUCAGCCUCCUCGUUCAUGGUGAACCUCUACACUCUUCAUUCUGGUCUUUAGACCCAAGAAAUGCUGGACAUCUUUUACCUUCAGCAGAUUCUAAUCUCUCUCUGGCUCUGUCUAUCUUCUUUUAGGACUAAUUCCCUGAAACGCCUUCAUAAUUCAUUUGAAGACUUAGCUCACUCAUCAGUAAAAGCUCCUUUAUCUCAGUCACUUCUGCAGACAUUAGCUUUCACUUUUCUGCUCUAACAGGAAUCUGGCUCUCUCUCCUGUGACAUCAUUCCCUGAAAUCCACUCAAAUGAAGAUUGAGUAGAUCUUUCUAUCCCUUAUUCUUCCCACUUCUGAGCUGGGCUAAGGGUCCUUUUUAUUCCACAUUGUCACACACAAACUACUCUCCCCUCCUUCCCCCUAAAGACUUGUUUCCUGGGGUGCCUGGGUGGUUCGGUUGGUUAAGUGUCUGACUCUUGAUCUCAGGUCAGGUCUUGAUGUUAGGGUCAUGAGUUCAAGCCUCACACUGGGUUCUAUGUCCAGUGUGGAGCCUACUUAAAAAAAGAAAAAAGAAGAAGACGACUUGCUGUUUCCUUAAAGCACCUGCCUUCCAAGUAUACCACCCACUCACUACCCUACUGGGUAGCAGUUAUUUACAGUCCUCUCAAUCAUAACACUCAUCAGUUCCUUGAUUUGAUGCUUGUAUCAAUCAUUUUGAUAUUCUUUGCAUAAAUCCUUUCCCUUCUAUCAGUACUUAGCCUCAACUACAACUUUAGUCAAAUCCAACUUUCUUCACGUACAAUUAGGAUAUUGAAUCAAGGUGUGAAUCCACCAUAUCAGAAGAAACAAAUAUAUUUUCAGUAGACACUUAAAGUGUUGUGUCAAGGGGUUGGAAGAAGCCAAGAUGGCAGAACAGCAUGGAAGUUUUUUGUGUGUCUCCCAUCCAUGAAAUACAGCCAGACUAACUCUAAACCAUCCUACACACCUAGAAAACUGAUUGGAGGAUUAACACAACAAUCUGCACAACCUAAACCACAGAAUUCAGCAGGUAUGCAGGGCAGAGAGAUGAACUUGGGGAGUGAGAAGGCACAGGAAAGGAGGUGCUUUAGCGAGUGGAGAGAGGACGGAGACUAGGGGGAUAGGGA